GGGUGUGAGGGCGAUCUGGCUGCGACAUCUGUCACCCCAUUGAUCACCAGGGUUGAUUCGGCUGAUCUGGCUGGUCAGGGGGGUGUUCCCUUCCUCCCUCACUGCUCCAUGUGCGUCCCUCCCGAAGCUGCGCGCUCGGUCGGUCGCAGAGGACCGUUUCCUCGGUCAAGGGUAUACGAGUAGCUGCACUCCCCUGCUAGAACCUGCAAACAAGCUCUCAGUACAAACGUCUUCCCUUUUUUUCCUUUCCAGAGUGAACAUCCUCGUGUUGUACUUGAUCCUAGAGGAAAAGCAUUCAUUCUUCCACGAU
rfam:Heterocephalus glaber contig45822, whole genome shotgun sequence.